rnacentral:misc_RNA from 1 species
CGAACGCGUGUCGCGAGAAGGGCACAGCGACUUGCGCUCAAGCUGAGGCGGCACGAAGAAGAAAAUGCCGUGAACCCGGAAGCCGUAAGAAGCGCCAUCACGCUUUGCAAGAUGCAGGGUCGGGUUCAAGGCUAAGACCAGAAGAUACAACACAGACAAGCCCUUCGAGAAAUCUGCCGAGGCUGCAACUCCAGAGAGGAGUUUGCAGUCAGGAGCAUCGCAGGAGAUAAUGACAGCGGAGAUUUGGAUGGCUGGAGAGGAAGCGU